UGGGGAAUUUUGCACAAUGGGGGAAACCCUGAUGCAGCGACGCCGCGUGAUUUAGAAGGCCUUCGGGUUGUAAAAAUCUUUUCUAUGGGAAGAAAAUGACAGUACCAUAGGAAUAAGGACCGGCUAAUUACGUGCCAGCAGCCGCGGUAAUACGUAAGGUCCGAGCGUUGUCCGGAAUCAUUGGGCGUAAAGGGUGCGUAGGCGGGUAAGCAAGUUAGAAGUGAAAUCCUAUAGCUCAACUAUAGUAAGCUUUUAAAACUGCUCAUCUUGAGGUAUGGAAGGGAAAGUGGAAUUCCUAGUGUAGCGGUGAAAUGCGCAGAUAUUAGGAGGAAUACCGGUGGCGAAGGCGACUUUCUGGCCAUAACCUGACGCUGAGGUACGAAAGCGUGGGUAGCAAACAGG
rnacentral:rRNA from 1 species